rnacentral:rRNA from 1 species
GUGAACGCUGGCGGUAGGCCUAACACAUGCAAGUCGCACGGCAACACAGUAAGAGCUUGCUCUUACGGGUGGCGAGUGGCGGACGGGUGAGGAAUACAUCGGAAUCUACUUUUUCGUGGGGGAUAACGUAGGGAAACUUACGCUAAUACCGCAUACGACCUACGGGUGAAAGCAGGGGAUCUUCGGACCUUGCGCGAUUGAAUGAGCCGAUGUCGGAUUAGCUAGUUGGCGGGGUAAAGGCCCACCAAGGCGACGAUCCGUAGCUGGUCUGAGAGGAUGAUCAGCCACACUGGAACUGAGACACGGUCCAGACUCCUACGGGAGGCAGCAGUGGGGAAUAUUGGACAAAGGGCGCAAGCCUGAUCCAGCCAUACCGCGUGGGUGAAGAAGGCCUUCGGGUUGUAAAGCCCUUUUGUUGGGAAAGAAAAGCAGCAGGUUAAUACCCCGCUGUUCUGACGGUACCCAAAGAAUAAGCACCGGCUAACUUCGUG